rnacentral:pre_miRNA from 1 species
GGGGGGAGCGCCAGAUCUUGGGCUAUGUCCCCCAGCACCCUGGGAUCCCAGGCCUGCACUGCUGAGAUUGUGCGCCCAGCCUGCGCAGCCCCCU